rnacentral:piRNA from 1 species
UCAGUGUGAACAGGGCUGUGUGGGAU